GGGGAUUGGUGUAUAUGGGAUUGGUGUAUAUGGGAUGAAACAGAACGCUAACACAGAUGAGAGCCUUAGAAAAAAUACGCAUAGAUGUGGGUCCGGAAUACAUGUAUAGUAUAUAAAUCUGUACGUCUAGGUAUAGGCAAGGUAUAUAGGUUGAUCGCCUCGUAUGGCUUCGAUCGUGGCUCUACUACCAAUCUAGGUCUCUAAGUGUGUGUUCGAGUGAGAGUGUGUGUGGUGUGUGUGUGAAA
rnacentral:sRNA from 1 species